rnacentral:rRNA from 1 species
GACGCUGGCGGCAGGCUUAACACAUGCAAGUCGAGCGGAGUGAUGGUGCUUGCACUAUCACUUAGCGGCGGACGGGUGAGUAAUGCUUAGGAAUCUGCCAUUUAGUGGGGGACAACAUUCCGAAAGGAAUGCUAAUACCGCAUACGUCCUACGGGAGAAAGCAGGGGAUCUUCGGACCUUGCGCUAAAUGAUGAGCCUAAGUCGGAUUAGCUAGUUGGUGGGGUAAAGGCCUACCAAGGCGACGAUCUGUAGCGGGUCUGAGAGGAUGAUCCGCCACACUGGGACUGAGACACGGCCCAGACUCCUACGGGAGGCAGCAGUGGGGAAUAUUGGACAAUGGGCGGAAGCCUGAUCCAGCCAUGCCGCGUGUGUGAAGAAGGCCUUUUGGUUGUAAAGCACUUUAAGCGAGGANGANGCUACUANUACUAAUACUACUGGAUAGUGGACGUUACUCUCANAAUANNCACCGGCUAACUCUGUGCCAGCCGCCGCGGUAA